rnacentral:rRNA from 1 species
UACGGGGGGGCAAGCGUUGUUCGGAAUUACUGGGCGUAAAGGGCUCGUAGGCGGCCAACUAAGUCGGAUGUGAAAUCCCCAGGCUUAACCUGGGAACUGCAUCCGAUACUGGAUGGCUUGAAUCCGGGAGAGGGAUGCAGAAUUCCAGGUGUAGCGGUGAAAUGCGUAGAUAUCUGGAGGAACACCGGUGGCGAAGGCGGCGUCCUGGACCAACACUGACACUGAGGAGCGAAAGCCAGGGAGCAAACGGG